UGAGGAAUAUUGGACAAUGGGCGAAAGCCUGAUCCAGCAACGCCGCGUGGGUGAUGAAGGCCUUCGGGUUGUAAAGCCCUGUCGGGGGGGACGAGCAAGGACGGUACCCCCUAAGGAAGCACCGGCUAACUCCGUGCCAGCAGCCGCGGUAAUACGGAGGGUGCAAGCGUUGUCCGGAAUUACUGGGCGUAAAGCAGGUGCAGGCGGUUCGUUGUGUCGGGUGUGAAAUCCCAAGGCUUAACCUUGGAACUGCGCCCGAAACUGGCGAACUUGAGUGUGGGAGGGGAUGGUGGAAUUCUGGGUGUAGAGGUGAAAUUCGUAGAUAUCCAGAAGAAUACCGGUGGCGAAGGCGACCAUCUGGCCCAUUACUGACGCUCAGACCUGAAAGCGUGGGGAGCAAACAGA
rnacentral:rRNA from 1 species